rnacentral:lncRNA from 1 species
CGAACGGCCGUGAGUCUGGCUCUGAUACCAAACAGUGUAUACCACGCAUUCCUCCGCAGAGAUAUUGUCCGCUUUGUGGUGGAACCCGGCGCACCGGUCCGACCCCACUCACGGGUUUGUUUUUGCAAGCCGCAGCUCCAAAACGCGUCUCCGAAGAGUACAUGCGAGCGAAUACAUAUAAGGCCCAAGGACAGCCCUCACGUCGUCGAUGUGGGAUACUACAUAUAUGUACACACACACACACACACACAAAAUAUAAUAGAGAGUAUAAUUUAUAUUUUAUUAUUUUUAAUCCCAUAAAUUAUGGGUUUUAUUUAAAAUCUCAUUAAUAUAAACAAUUACAAAUUUCAAUUUUUUAUUUUUAAUUUAAAAAAUAUAGUAACUUACAUUAUUACAUUAAUGUCAGGGACCUCAAUCAAAAACUAAAAACUAACAAGGUUUCAAUCAAAGAAUAUUGAUAGUUAGGGACCGCAUCCAAAGUGUCCCCUUUUUUUUUUAGGACGGUUUGAUAUAGGUGACUCGUUUUUUAAUUUUUUUAGACUAAACAUACACUCCUUUUGAAGAUUUGAUUAAACAUUUUCCUAGAAUUUUGUUUAUUAAUUUCAGCUUUCACAUAAGUACAAUUUUGUUUAGAAUUUUAGUUUUUCACGACUUCUCCUGGGCAUUUCUUUUUUUUUCUUUUCCUAUUAUGCCUAUAUUUAUGCAUUUAUUAUUCAUCUCUAUGCAUUUUUUUAUUGUUUGUUAUAAUUUUUACUUUUUUGUGCGAAUAUAGUAGAUUACUAGAAAUAGUACCCGCGCAUUGCUGCGGGAUUAGAAACUGUAUGAAAAAUUAUGAUUCAAAGGGAUAAAAGAUUGUUACAGAAAGUUAACGUUAUUUGGAUCGAAAGAUGUUUAAGCUUUUUGAAAUAAUUUUUAUAUGAAGAGGAGAAAUUGGGUGAAUCAAGCUCUUGGAACUCUUCAAACCACUUUCUGAAUAGCAUGACCUGCAAUGAUUGAGUAAGAAAAGUUGGUAAAAGAUAGUGUAAGAGUAUUAUAAACAAAAUUAUAUUAUUGGAACCACUUUAUAGAAGGUUGGUAGUCUUCUGAUAUAUUCACUUGUAGUUUCAAAACCAAUAAAAGAAUGCAAAACAUAAUAUACAUACACAGAAAACUAAAAAAACUGAAAUAUGUGAAGAUACUAAAAACCGAAAAAGGUUUGAAUUCCUAUGUUUCAAAAUGAAGGAAAAUCUUAACUGGCUUCUUUGGUUGUUACAACUAAAAGAUUUUAGUAUUAUUAAACAAUAUUUAUUGAGGAAGAUGAAAAAGAAGGAAAAAAAAAAUCUGUUACGUAAAUUGGUUUGUGAAACAUAGACAGAUUUCUGUCUUUAAUGUAGUUGGAGGAUUUAAAAGGUCAGGUUGAACAACCAAAAAAAAACACACACACACACAUAUGUAGGGGUAGACAGGCAAUGAGUUCAUAUGUAUCUCAUCUUUAUAUAAACUGAUGCAAUUUUAUGCAACAAUUUUAUGCAAAGAGUUCAGCCUCUCACUUUCAUCAGCAUCAUCAAGGCUCAAUCUGAUGCAAUUUUUGUAAAUGCAAACACCAGUAUCAACGAAAGAAAAUAAAAUAAAUAAAGAACAAAGAAUUUUAUGUUAAAAUUAUACAAUAAUUUAUAGACAAAUCAAUGAGAAUUUUAUGUUAAAAUUAUACAAUAACUUAUAGACAAAUCAAUGUAUUAAAAGCGUGAGGCGUGGGCGAGGCGUCCGAGGGAUAGCCCAGCCUAGGCAUGAGACGAAACCUCACGGGACCUAAAUUUUUUAAUAUAUACACUAAGCGUACACAUAUAUUAUAAAUACAUAUACACACACACAUAUAUAUAUAUAUACACAUAUAUUAUAUUAUAUAUAUAUAUAAAAUAUAAAUGAUAAAAAGCACAAUGAACACACAUAUAACAAUGCACGCAGACAACACACACAUCCAUUAUAUAAAAAAAUAAAAAUAAAAAUAAAGGCAAAGAGAUGAUAGUGCAAGGAAGAGGUAUGAGGUAAUUAAAACCUUACCCAAAAUUUGGGUUUGGGAGUUCAAAAAAAAAAAAGAAAACCCCUGAGGCGCGCCUAGGCGGCUCCGACGAUGCCUUCCGACGCCUUUCGCCCACUCCCUCAAAACAGAGGCGGCAACCCUCAAGCCCAGCCUCACAAGGCACCUAGGCACGCCCUGAGGCGAGCCUUUUAAAACAUUGAGAUAAAUUGAGAAUGCAGGAAUUAAAAUUAGCAAAAAUCUGUGGACAAACAUCAGUUAAACUACUGUAACAACAUAGUAACACAGUGAAUAUGGAAAUUCAUGCACCAUCUGACAAAACCAAUUUGAACUGUUCAGUUUAGUAAGAAAAAUAGGGAUUUUUGAAAAUCAAAAUUGGUAUAGAUUGGUAACUUACUCCUAAGUUUCUCCAGAGUGAUACAUUCAGACUUGGAACAGCUCACAAAUUUAUAGGUUCUCAACAUCUCACACAACCAUCUCUCAAGGAAAAUCCCCUACAACAAUUCAGAAAAUGGUUAGAGUGGAUACCUAUGACUUAUCUUAUAACAACUUGACAGGUCCAAACCCAAACUGUGUCAUUUUCCUAAAGGAUAUUCCAAUUUCUCAAAAUCUUGAAUCUAACUACAUUUCUCCACACCAAAUGGGCACAUAUGAGAAACCAAAAAAGAGCCUUAAGGGGGAAGAAGAAAGAAAAAAGAAACAAAAGAAAUGUACUAUUCGACUCCUAUAGUAAUGAUUUAACUUUUGUUUUGGCAAAAGUUUCCCAUUUUGU